GGAACUCAGUGGUAUCUGGACGUGUUCUAACUUAGUUCUCCCUGGAGGGUAAUAAGCCUGCAUGCAAGCUAAGGAAAUACAGAGGAGAGAACUUGGUCUGGAGGUACUGUAGAACCUCCCUGGAUGUCCUUUAAAUGGACUGUGACAGACUUCACUCUGGAUGUCACGUGGAAGCCCCAGGUCUGUAGUCUUCUGUUUGUUGUUUACCCGUAGCUAAGGGGAAAAAACUGUUCACGUGGCAUUAUCAGGAAAUGAGAAAGAAAUAAAUCUAUCCCGGGACUGAGAGCAAUUGUUUGGAAGAUUUUUAUGAAGAGGUAAAUUGUCUUGUUUGCUAUGACUCCAUAGAAGAAUAGCUACUUUAUUACUGGCAGAUAUAAUUUAUCAUGGGUCUAACACAUACCAUUUUAAGACCAUUUUCAGUUGUUCAUAACGUUGCCAAAUUUUAACCUUUGGGUGGAAAUUUUCCAUACCGGUUGUUUCCUUCAAAUUUGUACCC